AGACGUUGCACUGACAAAGCAAAUGAACACAACUCCGCCAUCAGUACGUCACGAUAACUUGCACGAGCUUAGUGGACUCCGUGGGCCUCCGUCCUCCACUGCGUCGCAGGCGCACUCGUCUACCGACGAAGACUGUCACGGGACGGCUCUCACCUCCUUCGACGCGACCAGACAGGCGCUCCUGGGCGAGGAGAAGAACACCGCGGGCCCCCUCUCGAAGAAGUCCCCCAGGAGCGCCUGGAAGUCCUCGGCGGCGGCGCUCCUCUCCCAGAAACAGAGCCCUCGAGAGGAAGAAAAAAAGGAUUGAAACAAACUCCUCGGGUUUGCAGGUGGCGCUACUGUUUUGGACCUCAUCACCAGCAGUGACAAGACCACCUACAGUGAAGAGAUUGCCUGCCCGUUGCCAUGGUGGUAAUAACAAGCUGGAAGCAAUGCAUUCAAGCAGCUAAGAUGAAGAUGGGUCCUGAUGUAAUCCCCACGCUCAUUUUACUCUGAAAAUCAGUACAGGUGUUAACAUGGUUGAGAACAUGAGUCAUUCAAUUUGCUAAGAAGACCCUAGUAGCCUGAAAUGGUAUGAGACUAUGACAACAAUCAGUACAACAGGGAGGGAGAGAGAAGUUCUGGAUAUGAAUGUAUUGUUCAUAGUUUGUCCUUGUGUCAAUACAGCAACAGAAAUUUCUUUUUCAAUUUUACCUCCUGUCUUUCCAAGCCUGCCUCUGAUCCAGGAGCUGUAUCAUUGCAAAACAUACUGCGCCGAUUGUGCGCUCCCCAGCAACCCAAAACUAUUUCUUAGCAAACACAUGCUGUUCAAAGCUGGCACCGCUCCCGCCACCUCAAACAUUUUGCUGCCAAGGCUUGUUGCACUGCUGAGCUGGCCUCCCGAGAUCUCCAUCCAUCCACUGCUUGUUGUGCAAGCUGCCACAACAGAGAGUGUGCUGCAAUCUGACUGUAAACAUCAAAGUUCAAUUAUCACUUGUAGCCAUUGCCAUUGGUAUUAAAAAACAGUGCAUAAUAUGUCUGUUUGGAUAAAUCUAAUAGUACUACAAUUCCGAUAGAAUGACUUGAAACAGUGUACAUUAUGGUCUGUACUCUUGUUGUAUAUGUUGCACUUCUCCUGGCCUUCAAAUGCUGCACCGUGGUGAAGAUUUGUAACAUGAAGCAGCUCAUCAAUGACUGGCAGUGUCAACAGAGCUUUGUUGAUGAUGCUGUAUUGAUUCCCAAACUGAAUCACAAAACAGCACUCCAUCAUGGCGGCCCGGUCAAUCCAGCAAGCGGCAGUGAGCAAGCAAAUGUGUUAUCUGAGACUUUCAAAUCAGUUGUGUUUGUUUAAUGAUGUAUAUUUUUUUAUUCAGAGGCAAGUUGUCUCUGUAUAUACUGAGACCAGAACUAUCUAUAAAUAUCAGCGCACCUCGGUUGAAAUGAUUUUUCCAAAAGCUCCAUAAAUUCAGACAGAGGCUAUCAUUUCUACGUAUAGAGUGGAAUCAAUAGAUUGAUAUAGUACUUAAUGAAAGGAAAUUGCAGCACAUACAGUGACAACAAAAAAGUGAAUUUAGGCUUUACCCAAAUAUAAUUUUAUUCUACAUCAUUUUAUUUCUACAUCAUUUUAGUAUUUUACCACCAUUAAGCAUCCUGAUAUACAUUCAUUCUGCAAUAGUUAAUUUUUCACUCCACCUUUAAAAUGAUCAAAAUUGUAAUCAUUUAGUUUUUCUUGUUUUUGUUGUAUUUUUAUUAAAUUCGUAAUUCAGAGCAGAUUUUGUGUUCUCUGCUCCACUGAGCAGCAACAGUGUAGGCCACUCAUGAAGCUAUUUGUUUAUCCUUGAUUUAUCCAGAGUGGUUUCAUUCAGAGUAAGGCUUUUCUUUUCAUGUUUAUUAUAUUAUGUUAUAUUAUAUUAUAUGUCAUCCCGACAGUCACCUACUCUGUAGAUAUAAAAGUCUGACCUCUGUCAGAAGGUCUACACCACAAGGACGCCCUCUACAGGGCUCGGUGAAGUUAGGGCUAUACGCUCAAUAUAGGUCAUUAUUAUUUCUGCAAAGACAAUCUAUAUUUCAUGGAGUCAUAUUUUAUUUGUAUAACAAAAGAAACAGGGAACAACAUAGAGCAGCCUGACCCUCUCUCCUCAAACCCCUUAGAUUCAUUCUGUGCUGAUACGGAUGGGGGAAAUCAGUAUUUGCUCCUUUGGUAGUCUUGUCUGUUCUUCCCUGUUUGAUAAAGCUGAAAAUGGAAGAAAAAAAGCAAAGGGAAUAACACAUUAAAUGGAUUUACUUAAAACAACAUUAUCAAGUUGAGAGUCAGAGUGUAGGGGCCUGUGUGGGUUGUAAAGAGAAUGAUGCGUCCCUCGGUGUGCGUCACCAUCUGUUGCGUCCUGCAGAGGGCACUGGCUUUUCUCUUUUGGCAGAUUCCUCAUGGAGGCCGAGCUUCCGGGGGGGACUUGGAGAUCCAGCCUGCAAAGAAGUCAGUUUGAGACAGAUUGAUGGUUGAUGACAAGCAGCUGGUUGACAAAGGUCCCUAAAUACAUGUGUGAGCAACAUGUAAAGUCGCAGGCGCGUCAGGUGGAGCGCGCUGGGUGCGUCUGUCGUUUGGUGGCCUCCCGUCCGUCUCAUUAAUUGAUCACAUUGACUAUAUAAUAAUAUCUUGCCAUUCACUCUGUCAUAAGUCAUUGCUCCACCUGUCCCCGGAAAUACAGACACGGUAAACUAGUUUCGAUGGCAAACAAUAGCCUGCAUGUGGAGAAGUUUGCACUGUAGUGAAUUAAGGCCCCUGUAGGCCUAAUGAAAUGUAAAAAAAAAACAACAACAACAAAAAUCAGGACUGCUGUACUCUCAACCUGACAGAGAGAUCUCAGUGGGCAGAUCACACAAAAUCCUACCAGAUAGUGCUAAAGCUCUGGGGGUGUUAUGUAAGCCCCAGAAUGAACAAAUUUGUUAGCCCACACCCGAGGGCAUCUGGUGAUGGAUAUGUUGUCCUGGGGGACAGGGGAAGCCGCAGUACAACAGCCGGCCGCUUAUCAUGAAAGGCUUGUUUUAAGUGUUCCUCAGCCGGGAAACAAAGGCUCUGAGGGCACCCACUACCUUACAAUUGUUGUACAAUCCUUAUUGUUUAGUUAGUUCACACACACACACACACACACACACACACACACGCACAGCCUAUAUUAGAGCAUAUGGCAUGAAUUAGGCAUAGGUUUAAGUCUACUGGUCAAUAGCCAUGAUAAAAUCCAAACUGCAAUAACCUCUGAAUCAAUUUGUAGUUUUGGUGCAUAGUUCUUAUGUGCAUUGACUUAAACGCUGCAACAUUAAAUGGCUCAUCCUUACA